rnacentral:rRNA from 1 species
CCUACGGGUGGCUGCAGUAGGGAAUAUUGCACAAUGGGGGAAACCCUGAUGCAGCGACGCCGCGUGAGUGAAGAAGGUUUUCGGUACGUAAAGCCCUUUUAGUAGGGAAGAAAAUGACGGUAUCUAACGAAUAAGCCCCGGCUAACUACGUGCCAGCAGCCGCGGUAAUACGGAGGGGGCAAGCGUUACUCGGAAUUACUGGGCGUAAAGGGAGCGUAGGCGGGAGAGCAAGUCAGGUGUGAAAUCCCAUGGCUUAACCAGAGAACUGCAUUUGAAACUGUUAGUCUAGAGUAUGGGAGGGGUAGGUGGAAUUCUUGGUGUAGGGGUAAAAUGCGUAGAGAUUAGGAGGAACACUGAUUGCGAAGGCGACCUGCUAGAACAUAACUGACGUUGAGGCGCGAAAGCGUGGGGAGCAAACAGGAUUAGAUACCCCAGUAGUC